CUACUAUUAAUACUUCCACUAAAGGUUCUAGCCUAAUAUCAAGUUUACAAGUAAAUACACAGGAGAUAAAAGAGUGAGAAGCAUGUAGCACCUGUAUAGGUCAAAGCCUUGGUAGAAGUAUCAUACCAGAAAGUAUACCCAAGAUAAGAACAGGAGUGGGGAGAGUACAGAGUUCAUCUAGGUGGUACACAUGACCCUGUGUUAUACUCCUGGCCACAUCCUUUGGGUUGCUGGGGGUAGCC
rnacentral:lncRNA from 1 species